UACGUAGGGUGCGAGCGUUGUCCGGAAUUACUGGGCGUAAAGAGCUCGUAGGUGGUUUGUCGCGUUGUUCGUGAAAACCUGAGGCUUAACCUUGGGCGUGCGGGCGAUACGGGCAGACUGGAGUACUGCAGGGGAGACUGGAAUUCCUGGUGUAGCGGUGGAAUGCGCAGAUAUCAGGAGGAACACCGGUGGCGAAGGCGGGUCUCUGGGCCGAUAUUGACGCUGAGGAGCGAAAGCGUGGGGAGCGAACAGG
rnacentral:rRNA from 1 species